GAGGCAGCAGUGGGGAAUAUUGCACAAUGGGCGCAANCCUGAUGCAGCCAUGCCGCGUGUAUGAAGAAGGCCUUCGGGUUGUAAAGUACUUUCANCGGGGAGNANNGUGUUGCGGUUAAUAACCGCAGCAAUUGACGUUACCCGCAGAAGAAGCACNNNNNAACUCCGUGCCAGCAGCCGCGGUAAUACGGAGGGNGCNANCGUUAAUCGGAAUUACUGGGCGUAAAGCGCACGCAGGCGGUCUGUCAAGUNGNAUGUGAAAUCCCCGGGCUCAACCUGGGAACUGCAUUCGAAACUGGCAGGCUAGAGUCUUGUAGAGGGGGGUAGAAUUCCAGGUGUAGCGGUGAAAUGCGUAGAGAUNUGGAGGAAUACCGGUGGCGAAGGCGGCCCCCUGGACAAAGACUGACGCUCAGGUGNGAAAGCGUGGGGAGCAAACAGGAUUAGAUACCCUGGUAGUCCACGCCGUAAACGAUGUCGACUUGGAGGUUGUUCCCUUGAGGAGUGGCUUCCGGAGCUAACGCGUUAAGUCGACCGCNUGGGGAGUACGGCCGCAAGGU
rnacentral:rRNA from 1 species